rnacentral:rRNA from 1 species
UGACGCUGAGGCGCGAAAGCAGGGGGAGCAAACGGGAUUAGAUACCCCGGUAGUCCCUGCCCUAAACGAUGGAUGCUAGGUGUGAGCGGUAUCAAUCCCGUUCGUGCCGUCGCUAACGCAUUAAGCAUCCCGCCUGGGGAGUACGGCCGCAAGGUUGAAACUCAAAUGAAUUGACGGGGACCCGCACAAGCGGUGGAGCAUGUGGUUUAAUUCGAUACUAACCGAAGAACCUUACCCAGGCUUGACAUCGAUGGUAAGCCUCAGAAAUGGGGCCCCCUACUCACAAGGUAGGCCUGAAGACACCUGUUGCAUGGCUGUCGUCAGCUCGUGCCGUGAGGUGUUUGGUUAAGUCCAGCAACGAGCGCAACCCGCAUCCUAUGUUGCCAGCGGGUCAUGCCGGGCACUCAUAGGAAACUGCCGGGGCAACCCGGAGGAAGGUGCGGAUGAUGUCAAGUCAGCAUGGCGGUUACGCCUGGGGCUACACACAUGCUACAAUGGGCGAAACAGAGGGCUGCAAUGCCGCGAGGCGGAGCUAAUCCCAAAAUACGCCCCCAGUUCAGAUAGCAGUCUGCAACUCGACUGCUUGAAGGUGGAAUCGCUAGUAACCGCAGGUCAGCUAUACUGCGGUGAAUACGUUCCCGGGUCUUGUACACACCGCCCGUCAAGCUAACUGAGUCUGUUGCACCCGAAGUCCGUGGCUCAACCGCAAGGAGAGAGCGGCCGAAGGUGUGGCCGGUAAGGGGAGCUAAGUCGUAACAAGGUAACCGUA